UAGCGUAUAUUAACGUUGUUGCAGUUAAAAAGCUCGUAGUUGAAGUGUGGGUGAUCGCUGUUGUGAGACUUCGGUCUCUCGAYAGUAAGUCACCCCCUUCCAGUAUCCAGUAGUGGGUAUUCASUUACUUACUAYUGUGUGUUGGUCSUUUACUGUGAGAAAAUUAGAGUGUUCAAAGCAGGCGUUUGCUUGAAUAGAUUAGCAUGGAAUAAUAAUUGAAGGCUUUCGUGUUCGAUUUGAUUGGUUUGUUCAUGGAAGCAAGGUUAAAAGGAACAGUUGGGGGUAUUCAUAUUCACUAGUUAGAGGUGAAAUUCUCGGAUUUAUGGAAGAUGAACAAGUGCGAAAGCAUUUACCAAGGAUGUUUUCAUUAAUCAAGAACGAAAGCUAGGGGAUCGAAGAGGAUUAGAUACCCUCGUAGUCUUAGCUAUAAACGAUACCGACUAGGGGUUAGUAGAGGUCAAAGUGUCUUUAUUAGUACCUUAUGAGAAAUCAAAGUCUUUGGGUUCCGGGGGGAGUAUGGUCGCAAGGCAGAAACUUAA
rnacentral:rRNA from 1 species